CAGAGUAUCUUCGGGGUGUAUCCGAGUGAAAAGAAUGAAAAGCGACCGAAAACGCACGAAGUAGCGCACGGAACAUUAUACAAUGUGCAUCGCAGAGUUAACCCCAAAAAGAAAGGAAAAGAACUGAAGGGGCUCGAGCGAAAAGUGAAAUCGAGAGCGACAAACUUCAUGGAUACGGAGAUAAGCACCGACCAUCUGGGAAGUAAAUCAACUGCAGAUUUUGAUUUAUCUCUGCGACUAAUGAAGCUGUUCAAGUGGAAAACCAAGUGCCUACUUUGUCCGGCCAAAUAAACAUCCCUCCCUCUCUUCGAGGGUGGUAAAUAGGCCCCGAAGAGCCCGAAGACGAGGCUUCCGGCAGGAUGAAGAUCGAGUUCCCCGAUAGAAGGCAUGUGCACGUGCUGCAACCAAAGCAAACAUAUGCCCCCUCUUGAAACUCAACACCGAACAUAAAACUAUAUCACAGAAUCGGAGUUCGAGGGGGGUUAAAGGACGGGGGCGCGCACAAGUGCUCAUUAACAAUUACAAACAGACGAUCAGUCAGUCGAGCGUACUACAUUUUCCAAUAAAACUAUUAUAAAUGCGCAUAAAUUUCCCCCAUGAAUUUCGAAUUGGAGACAAGAGCAAGGCAUGAAUGGGUUGAAUACAUUAAGUAAUCAUCGGCAUUCCCAGCACAAACACCCUGUAAAUAAAUAUGUAUACCCUCUAUAUAUUAUCAGCUGUUUUGGAAAGCCAACCCAAAUGGGUAUUAGUGUGCGCUGAUUAAAUUAACCUCAAACAGACGGCGAAUGUUAUAAAAGAUAUACACAAAUAUCGCUUUAAAUGAACAACAAUUGGCUUGUUUACAUGUGGAUACGAAAAAGUGUAUAUAUAUUAUAUAAAACAAAAGCAAAACUUGUAGCUUUGUAUUUUCCGCUACUUUUAUUCGUCAAUUAAUUAUUGUCGGCUUCAAAAGCCCAGCGGAUGCCAAAGUUCUGGGUGUUGAAAGGGGGCAAAGUGGAGAUCAUAAUCCAUAAAUUAAAAUACCAGACACAGCAGCCCCACGAUCGCAAUGACAGAGAAUUAUAAUGGAAAUUCAGCUGUCGGGGGAAACAGACAAGCCACAUUCCAUGGCAUACUUUUAGGUGGAUUCCAGAAUUUCCCUUCCUUAUUGAUGGGCUCUGCUUUAGUUCUAAUUGAAUUUACUUGGUUUUCCCCAACUGCAGCCGCUGACUCAUCCGCUGACUUCCAAAGUCAAGUAUGACAAAUCCAUUUGCCCCCCACUGCUGAUCCAAUUGUGGCCCUCGCCAAAUUAGCAUGAAAUAAUCCACCCUCGGAUAUAUAAAAGUAGUAUAGAUAUACAUAUAUCUUUUGUGCAUGGCUUCACCUCCCGCAUGAGCGUGUUUUAAUGGUCUCGCACAGAAAUAAGUUGCCAAAGUAAACAAAGUUGCAGCUCCGCUUUCCUUGCGGUGGGUCCAUCACCACGAAGACUGGAUGAGAUGAUGUGGCUGUCGCUCCCCAACACGGGGCUGCACUUUGCUCCCGGCUAAGGGUCAUCAUCAUCCCAUCCCAUGCUGCGCGAAAAUUCUGCGCACAACCUGAGACGCAAAAAAGAGAAAUUCACACGACCAGGAUGAGGAAGCCAUAAAAUUUAAAUGCCAUGCAUAAAAUAUGAUAAUAAUGGCCAUUUUCUGGUGCCUAAAUACUUUGUAGUCUAAAGGUUUAAUUAUUCAAAAUUGUUUACAUUAUAGUGUCAGUUUGAAUUUAUAACCAAAAUAAUGGGUACUAAAUAACAAUAGUUCCAUUGUAUUUUUAGCACAUAGUGACCGGUUCGUUUAACAAUUCAA